UCAGUCUUUGGGUGUACAGUUCCUCC
rnacentral:piRNA from 1 species